AGAGAAUGUUGGAUCCUCAGGAGCUGGAGUUAAAGGCAGUUGUGAGCUUCUCAGAGUGGGUGUUGGGAGCCAGACUGUGGUCCUCUGAAAGAGAGAAGUGGCAAGGUAUGGCCGCUAAGGCCCUACCAAAACAUCAUGUCAUCCUGGAAUGUGGGCUGAAGAGAACCUUUGACCUCUGAACUGGGGAGAAGAUGGAUAAUGGAACUGAGCACAUGGGGCACCAGUGAGGUGGCUUUGUGGAGGGGCAUUGGCUGCUAAGCCCAAUGACUUGAGCUCAGUCUCUGGAGCCCACAUGGUGCACAGACAGGCAAAGUUAACUCAUGGAGAAGCUGAGCACAUGUGUAUUUCCCCAAACUACCCAGCGCCUGCGUGUGGAGAUGGGAGAACGCUUGCCAUGUAAGUCUGAGGA